UAAAUUGGCCAGUCUACAUUCUGCUCUGACU
rnacentral:piRNA from 1 species